GGCCUAACACAUGCAAGUCGAGCGGAUGACGGGAGCUUGCUCCUUGAUUCAGCGGCGGACGGGUGAGUAAUGCCUAGGAAUCUGCCUGGUAGUGGGGGACAACGUUUCGAAAGGAACGCUAAUACCGCAUACGUCCUACGGGAGAAAGCAGGGGACCUUCGGGCCUUGCGCUAUCAGAUGAGCCUAAGGUCGGAUUAGCUAGUUGGUGGGGUAAUGGCUCACCAAGGCGACGAUCCGUAACUGGUCUGAGAGGAUGAUCAGUCACACUGGAACUGAGACACGGUCCAGACUCCUACGGGAGGCAGCAGUGGGGAAUAUUGGACAAUGGGCGAAAGCCUGAUCCAGCCAUGCCGCGUGUGUGAAGAAGGUCUUCGGAUUGUAAAGCACUUUAAGUUGGGAGGAAGGGCAGUAAGUUAAUACCUUGCUGUCUUGACGUUACCGACAGAAUACGCACCAGCUAACUCUGUGCCAGCAGCCGCGGUAAUAACGAGGGUGCAAGCGUAAUCGGAAUUACUGGGCGUAUAGCGCGCGUAGGUGGUUUGUUAAGUUGGAUGUGAAAGCCCCGGGCUCAACCUGGGAACUGCAUCCAAAACUGGCAAGCUAGAGUACGGUAGAGGGUGGUGGAAUUUCCUGUGUAGCGGUGAAAUGCGUAGAUAUAGGAAGGAACACCAGUGGCGAAGGCGACCACCUGGACUGAUACUGACCCUGAGGUGCGAAAGCGUGGGGAGCAAACCGGAUUAGAUCCCCUGGUAGUCACGCCGUAAAC
rnacentral:rRNA from 1 species